CCACGCCUCACCACACAACAGCACCCCCUUCACAAUACCACCAUGCAACACCACCAAACAUCACUGCGCAACACCACCACUCAACACAACCACACAGGACCACCACACAACAUCUGACAAAUGCACCACCUUCCUAAGCUAAGCAGGUGUCAAGGGAUCUGAUUAUUGUAACAGUACAUUCGACAUUUCCUGCUACUCUAUCUAUCCCUCUCCUGUGCAUCACUUAAAAUGACUCUCUCCUCAUUCAGGUAUCUCCACCACACUUGGUUGAGUACUAUCCCCUGGUCCACAACGACGGCUUGGAGAGCAGGAGGCUAGGUCUAUCCUUCACGGUAGAGGAGUCGCACUUCCUGAAGGGUGAACUGGUGCUCAAGUGCCAGGCCACGGUGGCGGCGGUAUACACUGUAUUAAGGAGGAGGAUGCCACGGUCUCCCACGGUCAGCCUGUUAUACUUGAGCAGCGUGAACAUCGUGUUCUUGUACGUAGUGAUGUUACAAGGGUGGUACCAGCCUCGACUGUCAUUGUGGUGGUAACACUUCUGAUGACUCUCGUAUCAGGUGUGGAGUCAACCUCGACCCUGAAGAUAAUCUUGGCAGUCCUAUUGAUUUUGUUAAAAGUGGUGCCAAACUCAACCGUUGCUCCCGUGUUGGCACCUCGUGUGAUUUUUGAAGCAGUCACGUGACUUGCCUACAUACUCUGUAUAAAAACUCUCAAACUAGAAAAUAUAACUUUGUUAUAACCAUGAUAAAUAUAGCAAACUAUUUCAUGUAUUCAGUGUUAGUCGCAUCUGUUAUAUGUGAAAGAGAAUCUUACAACACAAACACGCACACACACACUUUAUA